rnacentral:rRNA from 1 species
CCUACGGGAGGCAGCAGUGAGGAAUAUUGGUCAAUGGACGAGAGGCUGAACCAGCCAAGUAGCGUGAGGGAUGAAUGCCCUAUGGGUUGUAAACUUCUUUUAUAAAGGAAUAAAACGAGGCACGUGUGCGUUUUGGCGAGUACAUGAUGAAAAAGGAUCGGCUAACUCCGUGCCAGCAGCCGCGGUAAUACGGAGGAUGCGAGCGUUAUCCGGAUUUAUUGGGUUUAAAGGGAGCGUAGGUGGGUUGUUAAGUCAGUGGUAAAAGCCCGGGGCUCAACCCCGGCCAGCCGUUGAAACUGGUUGUAUUGAGUGUGCGAGAGGUAUGCGGAAUGCGUAGUGUAGCGGUGAAAUGCUUAGAUAUUGCGCAGAACUCCGAUUGCGAAGGCAGCAUACCGGCGGCCAUCUGACGCUGAGGCACGAAAGCGUGGGUAUCGAACAGGAUUAGAUACCCGAGUAGUC